UGCAUCGGCCGGGAAUCGAAGGGGGCGCCCGCGUGGCAGGCGAGCAUUCUACCACUGAACCAAAAGC